AUUGAACGCUGGCGGCAUGCCUUACACAUGCAAGUCGAACGGUAACGCGGGGCAACCUGGCGACGAGUGGCGAACGGGUGAGUAACACAUCGGAACGUGCCCAGUAGUGGGGGAUAGCCCGGCGAAAAGCCGGAUUAAUACCGCAUACGACCUAAGGGUGAAAGCAGGGGAUCGCAAGACCUUGCGCUAUUGGAGCGGCCGAUGUCAGAUUAGGUAGUUGGUGGGGUAAAAAGCCUACCAAGCCGACGAUCUGUAGCUGGUCUGAGAGGACGACUAGCCACACUGGGACUGAGACACGGCCCAGACUCCUACGGGGAGGCAGCAGGUAGGGGUAAUUUUGGAACAAGUGGGCGCAAGCCUGAUCCAGCCAUGCCGCGUGACGGGAAGAA
rnacentral:rRNA from 1 species